UUGCCUUUUGCAAUUGUUGAUUUUAAAAAUGGUGGAGGAUUGGCAGUGAUUCCGACCAAAUGGUUUAUCGGGCCUGAGGAGGAUGAAUGCUACUGGCCACCAGCAAGAGUUAACAUUGCAAAGGCGGUCACAGAGCAACAUGACCCACACUUUGACUGGGCAACCUACAAGUUGAAUGUCAAGAGGAAAGCAGGUCAGCCAUGUCACCACCCGAAACCCCGCAAAUGCAAAUAAGGGACAACAUUCUUGUUCGCAUCCUGACAGUCCUUGAGGAACUCAAAGAAGACAAUCGAGUCACUAGAAGGAUGCUACAAACCUUGGCACAGCGUGGCAACAGUGGCGACACCCUUUCUUUCAUCCCAGAUGGUUUCCCUCUAAAGACAGUUAGGGAGGUCGAAGUGAUGGAGGAAAAACUGUCUGACCCAAGCUUCAUGUCUGAACUGGUCACAGCAGUGGCAGACAUUGGAGGGAGCACUGUGGAUGAGGCCACACGACGCAUGAUGGUCUUCAUCAUGGACCAUGACCUGUCAAGGCAGUAUAACUUUGUGG